GGGAGGUAGGUUAGGGUGAAGAAGAAGAGAAGAGUUUGGAUUUGAUAUCCCGCUUUGAGACUCCUUUGGGUAGUGAUAAAGCGGGAUAUCAAAUCCAAACUCUUCUCUUCUUCUUCACCCUAACCUACCUCACAG